GACGAACGCUGGCGGCGUGCUUAACACAUGCAAGUCGAACGGAAAGGCCCUGCUUGCAGGGUACUCGAGUGGCGAACGGGUGAGUAACACGUGGGUGAGCUGCCCUCCACUUCGGGAUAAGCCUGGGAAACUGGGUCUAAUACCGGAUAGGUGCCAUUUUUAGUGUGAUGGUUGGAAAGUUUUUUCGGUGUAGGAUGAGCUCGCGGCCUAUCAGCUUGUUGGUGGGGUAAUGGCCUACCAAGGCGGCGACGGGUAGCCGGCCUGGGAGGGUGGACGGCCACAUUGGGACUGAGAUACGGCCCAGACUCCUACGGGAGGCAGCAGUGGGGAAUAUUGCACAAUGGGCGCAAGCCUGAUGCAGCGACGCCGCGUGGGGGAUGACGGCCUUCGGGUUGGAAACUCCUUUCGCUAGGGACGGAGCUUUUUGUGACGGUACCUAGAUAAGAAGCACCGGCUAACUACGUG
rnacentral:rRNA from 1 species